rnacentral:rRNA from 1 species
GCAGUAGCCACGGGAAUACGUAGGUGGCAAGCGUUGUCCGGAAUUAUUGGGCGUAAAGGGCUCGCAGGCGGUUUCUUAAGUCUGAUGUGAAAGCCCCCGGCUCAACCGGGGAGGGUCAUUGGAAACUGGGAAACUUGAGUGCAGAAGAGGAGAGUGGAAUUCCACGUGUAGCGGUGAAAUGCGUAGAGAUGUGGAGGAACACCAGUGGCGAAGGCGACUCUCUGGUCUGUAACUGACGCUGAGGAGCGAAAGCGUGGGGAGCGAACAGGAUUAGAUACCCCCGUAGUCCCUGUCUCUUAUAC